CAUUACACCACUCAAGCCCAGCUUGGUAUUGGGAGCUCGCCUCGUGCCCCGAGGCGUGCCCGAAAGUUAGCGGCGACGUGCCCGGCACCCAAGCGCAUUAAAUAUCAUUCGCUCAGGGCCCGCAGGGUGUGCCAGCCGGACAACCCCCCAAAACUUCAAUGAUUGACCUCGGAUCAGGUAGGGAUACCCGCUGAACUUAA
rnacentral:misc_RNA from 1 species